UUUUAGCCCUGAUUGUAGCGGCAUCCUUUUUCUUUUUUCUUUAAAAAGAAAAAGAUAUAGCGAAAAGCAGGAAAUAGC
rnacentral:sRNA from 1 species